rnacentral:ncRNA from 1 species
CUUAUCGAGUUUGAGAUUUUUUUAAAGGGCAGGCGUUAAGAGGUGUCAGAAAAGUUACCAAGGGGAUAAAUGGCUUCUGGCAGCCAAUCGUCCAUAGCGUCGUUGCUUUUUGAUCCUCCGAUGACGGCCCUUCCUAUCAUUGCGAAGCAGAAUUCGCCAAGCGUUGGAUUUUCCACCCACUAAUAGGGAACGUGAGCUAGGUUUAGACCGUCGUGAGACAGGUU